UACCUGGGGUGCCACUCAACCCACCCCAAGGUACCAGUUAUCCAGCAUUUCUGUCCUGUGGGUUAAGGUCACUGGGAAGAGCUCUCAGAUGAUGCAAUUGUAGACCAGACCAUGCAUAUAUUAAAAUAGUGAGGUCUGAGGAAUAGGGGCAAAAUGGAGUUAGCAUCCUCUGCCUCCAUGGACUGGUCAGCUUAAACUGUCAGGCACAGGAAUAACUGGAUUGAAUGAGUAUUUAAACAUGCCAUAAUGACAACCUUAUCUCAACGGAAGAAGAACGCCUCCUGGGGAACAGGGGUGGCUCUUUAAGACUGGCAGACAGUGGUUAAUCCACAGGCAGAAUCAAGAUAAGUAGGAUCUGGUCUCCGCUUGGCUUCAACUAUCCCCUUAGCAUGUGAUCACUGCAUCCUCCAUGUGCAGUGCAUUGUGGGAGAGAGAGAAGCAAGCAUGCAUCCAUGAAGGAGUGUGGCAUGUGCUCAACAAGAGAAGGAACCCAUGAAGACCCCUGAUGUGCUCAGGGUCUAGUUGGGGAGAGCAAGGUCCACAGAACAAGGUGGAAGAUGAAGGCAGAAGCUGAUGUACCAGGAGACUCAUGGGUGUGGCAGCUCAGGUCUGUGAUCCCAGCACUUGGGUGGCAGAAACAGAACUUCUGAGUUUGAGACUACGAUGGGCUAGGCUACAGAGUGAGAUCAUGCCUCAACCAACCAACCAAUCAGAAUAACAAAAGGAAGAGACACAGUGAGAGACAGAAAAGGGAGAAGGAAGGAAGGAGGGGCAAGCAUUAAAGGAAAAACCAGAACGUGUCAGCAUCCAUCCCAAGAUGUUCUCAGAAUCCCAACGAAACAGAUUUCUUUGCAACUACGAUAAUGAUUUAUCCUCUGGUGACAAGAUAUGUCUAUCAUCCAAAGCCACCCACAUUUGGGACAUGGAAGUGGUCCGUGCACAGUGACAUGUCUGGACUCAAGGGAUAGAGGAACUUAUUACUUUUCCUGGUAGCAAUGGACAAUUCAGUUAUAUGAUCCCUGGAGCUGUCCCAGUCAUGCUCUAAGCUCGGGGUAAAUGCUGUCAUUUUAUCGUACUGCGAUUCUGCAGAAAUAACUCAAGAUCUCACUGCAUAGAAGCUCCCGGUGUCCUUACCCUAACCUUGAUUCGGCAUGCUCUCCUUUUAUUA
rnacentral:lncRNA from 1 species